AAUGCUGUGCUUUGUGUGAACUUCAAUACAGUGAACACAAAACCACUUCUGGGGUUGUAAUGCAGCUGAUUUCAUGCAUGCCUGCUUCAUAUAUGUCUGCUUAAUAAGUAAGACCAAAUCAAAUCAAAUUAUUUGUAACAGCACUGACUUCCUUGUCCUUGAUAGGCUUCUCUUUGAAGCAAACAAAGUGGAAGAAAUGGUGACAUAAUUUCUGUUAUAAUCUGUCUUGUACUAUAUUUGGUGAAAGUGAACUGCUUUUUAUAAAAUAAAUGGCUAGGGCUGGGGAGUUUUAAAAUAACUCUUAAAGGUAAAGGUUUUGAGUCCCUAGAAUGAAAUGCUCAAUAAAGCAAUUACUCCCCUUGGUGGCUUUCCAGAGUCCUGUACCUUUGGGAUUCACUUUCCCUUCUCUGUGUUUGCACAGUAGUCCCUGGAGGACUCUUGCUGAGGACACUUAGUGAUGAGACAUUACUUGUUGAGGCUCAUACUCCCUUCUGGGAGAAGCACUAUACCAGGAUUCCAAUUCCAUCUCAUCCCACACACGGAGACUUCACCAUCCUGGCAACCUUACUGUGCUACCUUUGACCACAAAACAGGCAAAAUCUUCAAAUUUCCUGAGCCUCACUUUCAAUGUAUGUAUUACAAGGACAAUGAUAGCACAUACGUCAUAAGAGUGUUGCAAGGAUCAAAUGAGUGCUCACCAUGGCACCCAGCAAGAAGUAAGUGUGAAAUAGAUAAUAGCUUUUAUUACUCAUCAACAAAAUGGAGAUUAUCAUUUCUUUCUUGCCAAACUGUUGUGAAUUUUAAUGACAUGGUAUAUUUAAAAGCAUAUUGUAAAGUAUAAAUUCCAGACAAAUGUAAGGCACUAUUUCUUACAGUUUGUUGAAAAACAGUUAUUUUCAGUACUAGAGUAUGAAACCAUUUCAAUUCAACCUUUGUCUUGUGGGACUACCUUACUUUUCUUCAUAGCUUAGGAUUAUCACAGGGACACCUGGGAAAAUGUCCCUAGGGCCAGUACCCUGAGAUUCUUCUCUAUAAACAGAGAACUUGGACAUUAUCUGGGUUGCUGAGUGUGGACUCUCUGAGGCCUUUCUGCUACAAAUGUCAGCAUUUUCCAGAGAAACAGUGACAACAUGAGAUUCAAGACUCUGUGAGCUGGACAGCAGAUGGAGGCACACUGACAGCAGAUGGAGGAC